rnacentral:rRNA from 1 species
AUUGAACGCUGGCGGCAUGCUUUACACAUGCAAGUCGGACGGCAGCACAGAGAUUCUUGCUUCUUGUGUGGCGAGUGGCGGACGGGUGAGUAAUAUAUCGGCACGUCUCGAGUAAUGGGGGAUAACUAAUCGAAAGAUUAGCUAAUACCGCGUAUUCUCUGCGGAGGAAAGCAGGGGACCUUCGGGCCUUGCGUUAUUCGAGCGGCCGAUAUCUUCUUGGCUAGUUUGUGGGGUAAGGGCCUACCAAGGCGACCAUCAGUAGCGGGUCGGAGAGGAUGGUCGGCCGCACUAGAACUGGACCACGGCCCAGACGCCUACGGGAGGCAGCAGUGGGGAAUUUUGGACAGUGGGCGCAAGCCUGAUCCAGCCAUGCCGAGUGUCUGAAGAAGGCCUUCGGGUUGUAAAGGACUUUUGUCAGGGAAGAAAAGGCUGUUGCUAAUACCGACAGCUGAUGACGGUACCUGAAGAAUAAGCACCGGCUAACUACGUG